GAGUUUGAUCAUGGCUCAGGAUGAACGCUGGCGGCGUGCUUAACACAUGCAAGUCGAACGAAGCGAUCGGGAGGAAAUUUUCGGAUGGAAUCCGGAUUGACUGAGUGGCGGACGGGUGAGUAACGCGUGGGUAACCUGCCUCAUACAGGGGGAUAACAGUUAGAAAUGACUGCUAAUACCGCAUAAGCGCACGGGGAUGCAUAUCUUUGUGUGAAAAACUCCGGUGGUAUGAGAUGGACCCGCGUCUGAUUAGCUAGUUGGUGAGGUAACGGCUCACCAAGGCGACGAUCAGUAGCCGACCUGAGAGGGUGACCGGCCACAUUGGGACUGAGACACGGCCCAAACUCCUACGGGAGGCAGCAGUGGGGAAUAUUGCACAAUGGGGGAAACCCUGAUGCAGCAACGCCGCGUGAGUGAAGAAGUAUUUCGGUAUGUAAAGCUCUAUCAGCAGGGAAGAAAAUGACGGUACCUGAGUAAGAAGCCCCGGCUAACUACGUGCCAGCAGCCGCGGUAAUACGUAGGGGGAAGCGUUAUCCGGAUUUACUGGGUGUAAAGGGAGCGUAGACGGCGAUGCAAGUCUGGAAGUGAAAGCCCGGGGCUCAACCCCGGGACUUGCUUUUGGAAACUGUAUGGCUGGAGUGCUGGAGAGGCAAGCGGAAUUCCUAGUGUAGCGGUGAAAUGCGUAGAUAUUAGGAGGAACACCAGUUGCCGAAGGCGGCUUGCUGGACAAUAACUUGCCGUUGAGGCUCGAAAGCGUGGGGAGCAAACAGGAUUAUAUACCCUGGUAGUCCACGCGGUAAAACGAUGAAUACUAGGUGUUGGGGAGCAAAUCUUCUCCGUCCCGCCGCAAACGCAUAGACAUUCCACCUGGGGAGUACGUUCGCAAGAAUGAAACUCAAAGGAAUUGACGGGGACCGCACAAGCGGUGGAGCAUGUGGUUUAAUUCGAAGCAACGCGAAGAACCUUACCAAGUCUUGACAUCCCGGCGGCGCAGGCAGAAAUGUCUGUUCUUUUCGGAGCGCUGGAGACAGGUGGUGCAUGGUUGUCGUCAGCUCGUGUCGUGAGAUGUUGGGUUAAGUCCCGCAACGAGCGCAACCCUUAUUCUUAGUAGCCAGCAGGUAAAGCUGGGCACUCUAGGGAGACUGCCAGGGAUAACCUGGAGGAAGGUGGGGAUGACGUCAAAUCAUCAUGCCCCUUAUGAUUUGGGCUACACACGUGCUACAAUGGCGUAAACAAAGGGAGGCGAAGCCGCGAGGUAGAGCGAACCCCAAAAAUAACGUCUCAGUUCGGAUUGCAGGCUGCAACUCGCCUGCAUGAAGCCGGAAUCGCUAGUAAUCGCAGAUCAGCAUGCUGCGGUGAAUACGUUCCCGGGUCUUGUACACACCGCCCGUCACACCAUGGGAGUCGAUAACGCCCGAAGUCAGUGACCCAACCGUAAGAGGGAGCUGCCGAAGGGCAUUGAUAACUGGGGUGAAGUCGUAACAAGGUAGCCGUAUCGGAAGGUGCGGCUGGAUCACCUCCU
rnacentral:rRNA from 1 species